UGAACGCUGGCGGUAUGCUUAACACAUGCAAGUCGAACGGAAACGAUACUAGCUUGCUAGUAGGCGUUGAGUGGCGGACGGGUGAGUAACGCGUAGGAAUCUGCCUGAUAGUGGGGGAUAGCCCGAAGAAAUUCGGAUUAAUACCGCAUAAUCUAUUCGUAGUAAAGUGGGGGACUUUCGAGCCUCACGCUAUCAGAUGAGCCUGCGUAAGAUUAGCUUGUUGGUAGGGUAAAAGCCUACCAAGGCGACGAUCUUUAGCUGGUCUGAGAGGAUGAUCAGCCACAUCGGGACUGAGACACGGCCCGAACUCCUACGGGAGGCAGCAGUGGGGAAUAUUGGACAAUGGGGGCAACCCUGAUCCAGCAAUACCGCGUGUGUGAAGAAGGCCUGAGGGUUGUAAAGCACUUUCAAUUGUGAAGAAAAGUUAGCGGUUAAUAACCGUUAGCCUUGACGUUAACUUUAGAAGAAGCACCGGCUAACUCCGUGCCAGCAGCCGCGGUAAUACGGAGGGUGCAAGCGUUAAUCGGAAUUACUGGGCGUAAAGCGUGCGUAGGCGGUUUAUUAAGUCAGAUGUGAAAGCCCCGGGCUUAACCUGGGAACUGCAUUUGAAACCGGUCAACUAGAGUAUGGUAGAGGAAAGUGGAAUUUCUGGUGUAGCGGUGAAAUGCGUAGAUAUCAGAAGGAACAUCAAUGGCGAAGGCAGCUUUCUGGACCAAUACUGACGCUGAGGUACGAAAGCGUGGGUAGCAAACAGGAUUAGAUACCCUGGUAGUCCACGCCGUAAACGAUGAUAACUAGCCGUUGGGGGGAUUUACCCUUUAGUGGCGAAGCUAACGCGUUAAGUUAUCCGCCUGGGGAGUACGGCCGCAAGGUUAAAACUCAAAGGAAUUGACGGGGACCCGCACAAGCGGUGGAGCAUGUGGUUUAAUUCGAUGCAACGCGAAGAACCUUACCUGGUCUUGACAUCCUGCGAACUUUCUAGAAAUAGAUUGGUGCCUUCGGGAACGCAGUGACAGGUGCUGCAUGGCUGUCGUCAGCUCGUGUCGUGAGAUGUUGGGUUAAGUCCCGUAACGAGCGCAACCCCUAUCCUUAUUUGCCAGCACAUCAUGGUGGGAACUAUAAGGAGACUGCCGGUGAUAAACCGGAGGAAGGCGGGGACGACGUCAAGUCAUCAUGGCCCUUACGACCAGGGCUACACACGUGCUACAAUGGGAAGGACAAAGAGCCGCGAAGCCGCGAGGUGUAGCUAAUCUCAUAAACCUUUUCGUAGUCCGGAUUGGAGUCUGCAACUCGACUCCAUGAAGUCGGAAUCGCUAGUAAUCGUAGAUCAGAAUGCUACGGUGAAUACGUUCCCGGGUCUUGUACUCACCGCC
rnacentral:rRNA from 1 species